AGUGAACGCUGGCGGUAGGCCUAACACAUGCAAGUCGAACGGCAGCACAGGAGAGCUUGCUCUCUGGGUGGCGAGUGGCGGACGGGUGAGGAAUACAUCGGAAUCUACUUUUUCGUGGGGGAUAACGUAGGGAAACUUACGCUAAUACCGCAUACGACCUACGGGUGAAAGCAGGGGAUCUUCGGACCUUGCGCGAUCGAAUGAGCCGAUGUCGGGUUAGCUAGUUGGCGGGGUAAAGGCCCACCAAGGCGCCGAUCCGUAGCUGGUCUGAGAGGAGGAUCAGCCACCUUGGAACUGGGACACGGUCCAGACUCAUACGGGAGGCAGCAGUGGGGAAUAUUGGAUAAUGGGCGCAAGCCUGAUCCAGCCAUACCGCGUGGGUGAAGAAGGCCUUCGGGUUGUAAAGCCCUUUUGUUGGGAAAGAAAUCCAGCUGGUUAAUACCCGGUUGGGAUGACGGUACCCAAAGAAUAAGCACCGGCUAACUUCGUGCCAGCCGCCGCCGUAA
rnacentral:rRNA from 1 species